CAUGAACACAGAUACGGAAUUUCUGAUGGCUGGUGAAGUGCAUUUCCACGGAGUUUGGAGCUGUGUACACAUAUUCAGGUUGUCUGCCAGAGGUUCUUGCAAACCAGAUGUACGCAGUUAAUCCCACAGAAAUCAAUGAAAUUGCAUGCGGAAGUGUGAGACUAAAAGGUAUUUCUCAAGAAGGUGAAAGAAACCUAGUAAUGAGAGAUGGAAAGGUGAUGUGGUUUUGCUCAUCAAGCUGAAUGCCCGAUGGAAAAUGUUUCGGGUUUGCUGAGUAAGGUGUGUGAAUUAGAUCCUGUGGAAGCUUCGCAGCUGCAAUAAGCAUAAACAGUGAAUGCUUAGUGAAAUGAUAUGACAAGUACUUAGCAGGGAAUCUCUGGUCUGAUUUAUGUUCCUAGAAGUAAUUUUUUCGUAUCUCAAAAAAGCAGCAAGUUAGUAGUUAAUAGAGAAUCUGCACAUAGAUCAUUUGCAUGAAGGGAAAAUUGUGAAGUGCUUCAAUCAAUGCAACAUCUCACUGGUAUUGAUGAGGAGUACCAGCAGUCAGAUGAAAGGCAGUCUGUUGAAAUCAUUAGGUACUGGUUUCUUAUCCCAGCAGGAUUUCCAGCUCUGACUUGAUGGUCUCUUUAGGUCAUGCUGGUUUUAUCCUGGCUAGUCCUUGAGGAGAACAAUUUUUUUUUCUGUCUGGUACAGUUCA